AUUGAACGCUGGCGGCAUGCUUUACACAUGCAAGUCGAACGGUAACAGGCCGCAAGGUGCUGACGAGUGGCGAACGGGUGAGUAAUGCAUCGGAACGUGCCCAGUCGUGGGGGAUAACCCAGCGAAAGCUGCGCUAAUACCGCAUACGAUCUAUGGAUGAAAGCGGGGGACCGAAAGGCCUCGCGCGAUUGGAGCGGCCGAUGUCUGAUGAGGAAGUUGGUGGGGUAAAGGCCCACCAAGACGACGAUCUGUAACUGGUCUGAGAGGACGACCAGCCACACUGGGACUGAGACACGGCCCAGACUCCUACGGGAGGCAGCAGUGGGGAAUUUUGGACAAUGGGCGCAAGCCUGAUCCAGCAAUGCCGCGUGCAGGAAGAAGGCCUUCGGGUUGUAAACUGCUUUUGUACGGAACGAAACGGUCCGGGUUAAUACCCUGGGCUAAUGACGGUACCGUAAGAAUAAGCACCGGCUAACUACGUGCCAGCCGCCGCAGUAACAC
rnacentral:rRNA from 1 species